rnacentral:lncRNA from 1 species
CUGAAAUAGAAAAAAGCCUAGGUGUCAAUAUUCUAAAGACUGACCUUUGCAUUUUCCUGACAUGUUGAUGAAGUAUUCAUUCUGCCGCUUCCAUUUAGUAGUAAUUUAUCUCCCAUCCCAAAGUUCCUGAGUACAAAGACUAUAUACGAACUAAAUUUCAUUUGGAAAACUACAAACUCAAAGGUGAGCUGAUAAAAAGAAACAUAUAUUUAUUUUUGCAAUUAUUUUCUAUUUUAUCUAAUUGUCAAAUUCUUUAAUACCUCCAUAAACUAGACAGUAUAGAUCCUUUCUAAUUAACAUCACCUAUUAAAACUGAACUCUCAGUAAGUUAAGAGAAUAUUUUUACUAGCAACUCAAAUGAAUAUUCUGAAGAGAAAAGAAUUGUUCACUGCAUAAAUCACAAUAGCAAAGAAAGGAAAAAUGGCUUACAAAACAGGAAAGGUACUGCCUUAUUAACCUGGGAAAUCCAUUUCAUAUCUAACCCAUCUACUUUUUAUUCUCUUUUGAAAAGGAUAUGAUUCAUAGUCCAGCGUUUGAGUGAGCACUCCAGUCAGAACGAACUCUGCAUUGUGAACAUCUGAACAGGGUGGAAACAGACACUUGUUAGAGAUCCACUGCUGUGCGUGCACACAUACUCACACAGGUAAGCGGGGAAACGUACCUAUGCCUCUGGCAAAAUAUUCUCGGCAUAAAUGAAGGUCAUUUUCACAGGAUAUUAAAAUUAUUUCCGACAAACUCUAAGGAAAAGAAAAUGAGUUUCUCAGUGACCGAACACUGAAUGUGAUACAGGGCAAUGACGGACUCGCUGGCGGACUCCACUCUACCCACCGAGUUCUGCUUGUGCUCCAUGAGCUUCCGGAAAGAUGGCUGCUUGGAUAACACCUUUCCUCCUGCACACUCUACAAUUGCCUUCAUAGUGGAAAGACUUGGGCAGAUUCCAGGAGGAAGACCUCCAGUGGCAAUGUCCAAGAAGGAAGCCAAGAGGUAAAUGGGAUGCAGGGUGAGCCCAGCUCCCCUGGAGGCGCACUUCCCACCAAAUCACCUGGUAGUUCCCUUGAGCAGGUCCAUGUGUUAUGCUUACUUGGACUGAUUUACUUUUCCCUUAAAGUGUACCUUAAAGAGUGGAGAAACGUGUGCCCGUUUUAAGGAUUCUUCCAAGCUGAAAGAGAAAAGUACUUCUGCCUCAGCAUCUCGGAGAAUGUAGUUCUGCUCAUCUGGAAAACAGAACAGCACAUACUCUGAAAAGUGUGGACACGUGAAGUGUGGCAAGUGUGACCCACAAAAUUCUCGUCCAUAUUCAGCGUAUGGACCAGUUUGCUGACUGCUGGGCAGGAGCAACCACAUCAUGACAGAAAUGCAGGGAUCUGUUCACCAACGGCCAGAAAUACAAAAUCAAUCCCUGAGUCAACCAGCAGAUAGAAAGGCUGCUUUUUAGGUGAAAGGAGAAAAAGAAUGUCUAAAAUUUGGAAAAACAAAACAUGAUGAAUUAAAAAAGGAACAAAAAAAGUACUGUUACACAUGAGAUGGUAUAUUUGAAGUGUUACUUUCAAAGCUGAUAUGCCUUCUGAAGAACUUGUGUGAGAUCACCAAGAAUAGUUAAUGUUUAUGACAGAGAAAACACCACCGGGCGCGGUGGCUCACGCCUAUAAUCCCAGCACUUUGGGAGGCCGAGGUGGGCGGAUCUCUUGAGGUCAGGAGUUCAAGACCAGCCUGGCCAACAUGGUGAAACCCUGUCUCUACUAAAAGAUACAAAAAAAUUUAGCCAGGCGUCGUCGUGGUGGGCGCCUGCAGUCCCAGCUACUAGGGAGGCUGAGGCAGGAGAAUGGCUUGAACCCAGGAGGCAGAGGUUGUAGUAAGCCAAUGGCACCACUCUACUCCAGCCUGAGCAACAGACUGGGUGAGACUCUGUCUUAAAAAGAAAAGAAAGUAAUAUUGAAAAAUACAGUAAUACAGCUAAGACGAUCCUGUCACAGAUGAGACAUUGAGAUUUUGGUUUUUUCAAACAGGGUUAUGUUAACUUAGUAGUAGCAAUGUAAAGACUCAACCUGAACAUUAAACUUUUCAUGGAAGUACAAAAGAAAUGAGUAUCCUAGAAAUUGAUUAUAAUAUUGAUGUCUCAAAUUUUAUGUAAGUUACACAUAAAUAUAAAAUCCCAAAAACAUGCACCUACCAACACAGGUGGAGAAAAGAGUGUUUUCAACAAAUGAUGCUGGAACAACUGCACAUCCAUAUGCAAUAAAAGGAAGCUGGACACAGACUUUACCCUCUUUUAAAAAAAACCGACCCAAAAAUGGAACACAGACCUAAAUGUAAAAUGCAAAACUAUGAAACUCCUAGAAGAUAACACAGGAGAGAAUCUAAGGGACCUUGAGUUUGGCAAUGACUUUUUAGAUACAACACCAAAGACACAAUCCAUGAAAGAAAUAAGAAGUAACCUGGACCUCACCUAUUAGAAUGGCCAAAACCCAGAGCACUAACACCAGCAUAUGCUGAGGAGGAUGUGGAGCAACAGGAGCUCCCAUUCACUGCAGGUGGGAAUGCAAAAUGGCACAGGCACUUCAGAAGACAGCCCGGCGGUUUCGUACAAGCUAAACAUACUCUUACCAUAUGAUCAAGCAAUUGCAACCUUGUUGAUUUACCAAAAGGAGUUGAAAACUUAUGGCCACACUAAAACCUGUACAUGGAUGUUUUAGCAGCUUUACUGAUAACUGCGAAAAUUUAGAAUCAGCUAAGAUGUCCUUGUGUAGGUGAGGGGCUGAACAGAUACAUUCUGACAAUGGAAUAUUAUUUAGUGCUAAAAAGAAAUGCUUUAUGAAGCCAUGAAAAGACAUGGAGGAAGCUGGGACGUAUAUUGCCAAGCAAAGAAAGCAAAUCUGAAAAUCCUAUAUACUGUAUGAUUCCCAAUAUGUAACAUUCUGGAAAGGGCAAGACUAUAGAAAGAAUAAAAGAUCAGUGGUUGCCAGGGUCAGCAGGCAGGAAGGAAUGAGUGGGUGGAGCACAGAGGAUUUUCAGGGCAGUGGAACAACUCCAUAUGACGCUGUAAAGCAAAAUCAUGUCCUUACACAUUUGUUAAAACCCAAUGACUGUUCAAGGCCAAGAGUGAGCCCUAAUGUAACUAUGGACUUUGGGUGACUGGCCAAGAGUGAGCCCUAAUGUAACUAUGGACUCUGGGUGACUAGCCAAGAGUGAGCCCUAAUGUAACUAUGGACUUCAGGUGACUGGCCAACAGGGAGCCCUAAUGUAACUAUGGACUUUGGGUGACUGGCCAAGAGUAAGCCCUAAUGUAACUAUGGACUUUGGGUGACUAUGACCCAAAUGUCAAUGUAGCUUCAUUAACAGUUAAUAAACAUUUCACUUUGGUGUGGGAUGGUGACUGUAGUGGGGGUGGCGGUGUGUGUGCAUGGGUAUGGGCUGGGGUAUAUGGGAACUCACUGUACUUUCUGUAAUUUUGCUGUGAACUUAAAACUGCCCUAAAAAUUGUCUAUUUUUAAAAAAACAAUAAUUAUAAACUGGAAAAAUUCUCUUAGGAAAUCCUAAAAUAUGGAAGAUAAAAUAUGAAAUGUUUUCUCAAUAUUAAAUGUUUAUAACAACCACUUUCUAACCCUCAGAGAGCAACACAGCAAAUACUUAUUAACAGUGCCAUAAAGAAAUAAAAGCUAGUUAACCAAAACUUCCCAUCAAAUAGGAACUGUAAACUUUAUAUACAGAUAAAACAACCACAUUUUCACAAACUGAAACUUGAAAAAUUAAGUAAAUUGUCAUUCACUAAAUUGGCUGCUUGGCAAACUAAUUUUCAAAGAAUUAGCAUGUUCUUGGUUGGAAAAGAAAAAGAAUAAGCAAAGUCAGAAAGUAACAAAAAAGAUCUCUAAAGCUGGGUGUUGCCCAAAAGCAGCCGAUGGAGCCAACCAGAGGCUGGAACAUUACAGACCCGCUUUCCCCACCACCCAAGCUGGUGUAUGCCAUGCUCCCACAGCAGAAGCUAAAAAAGUACACUUACUAUUUCUAUUAACGAAUAGACUAUCUCCUUCUAAACUGUAUAACAUUAUAUGAAAUUGGAAGCUAAAAUGUUUGUAGUAAUUGUUUCUACUAUGUUCUUCUUCUGCCUUCAUUGUUAAGUUUCAUGUUUC